GAGGGUAUAGCUCUGUGGUAGAGUGUGUGCUUAGCAUGCACGAGGAGGUCCCGGCUUCAAUCCCCAGUACCUCCA
rnacentral:tRNA from 1 species